GGAGGGAUACCAAAGUGGCCAAAUGGGGCGGACUGUAAAUCCGCUGGCUUCGCCUUCGUAGGUUCGAAUCCUACUCCCUCCACCA
rnacentral:tRNA from 3 species